rnacentral:rRNA from 1 species
UACGUAGGGUGCAGGCGUUAAUCGGAAUUACUGGGCGUAAAGCGUGCGCAGGCGGUUUCUUAAGUCAGAUGUGAAAGCCCCGGGCUCAACCUGGGAACUGCGUUUGAAACUGGGAGACUGGAGUGUGGCAGAGGGGGGUGGAAUUCCACGUGUAGCAGUGAAAUGCGUAGAUAUCGGGAGGAACACCUGAGGCGAAGGCGGGCUACUGGGCCGAUACUGACGCUGAUGCGCGAAAGCCAGGGGAGCAAACGGG